UCUGAUCCUGGGCUUGCACUGAUAUCAUCUUGUACCGUUCUAGGUACAACUCAUAUCAAUGUUUUUCAUACAAUAUGAAAUACAUAAAUCACCUUUAUGCGUAAAGGAUUCUAUUUACGCAUUAUUUCUUUGGGAGUCAAAGAGUACAUUCUCUUUGAGAAGAGCAACUUCUUAGUCUCACUAGAGUUGUCCUUCUAGUUGAAGUUUAUCAUCAUAUGAGAAACUUCCUAGCAUCUAUUGUCUAUUAUUAGGGAUUGAUAUAAUCCAAUUAUAUCAUGAAAUAUAUCAUUAUAGAUUUCCAUCCCAUGUAUAUAGACUAUAUCUCCCAUAUACAUUCUAUCUUCAUAUAAUGUUUUAAAGUCAUAACUUUAACGAAGAAGAAUUCUUUUCAUUUCCAAAAUUAAUAUAUCAAAUAUAUAUUUAAAUUUUAGGAACAUGAUUAACUCCCACUAAUCUUUUGUAAACCUAGUAAACAAAAGAUUCAUUUACAUCUUUAUGAGAAAUCAAACGUUUUGAUCUUUCUCAUAAGAUGCUUAUAGCUCCCACUAGCUUGCUUAGAUUCAUGAUGGAUGGAUCUCUACAACUUACAUGUCUUGUGAUUCAUAGUUUUAGACAUAUAUUAUUAAGACCAUCUUAAUAAUGGUUUCGGAAACCCAUAUUAUGUCCAAACAUUGAAUCACCAUUUAGUUGUAGCUAGCUAUCUUCGAAUUAAUUGAAACCAAGACUACGUCAAAGAUGGUUUCUUCAAAGUCAACCAUUCUUUUUUAUUGUAGUUAUCUUAAGCUACCAAUUAGCUUAUGAAGGUUUCAUUAUUUCGGGUCAAAUGGUACUUUACCAUUUCCUUGAGUAUAUAUCAUAUAUACACUCAAUGUAGUCAUAAGGAUUUUCAUUCUUAUUUCUUCGAAUUAAGAGGUGCAACUCUAUGACAUAGUCAUAAAGUUCAAACCAUUCAACUGAGACGGUUUAUAAAUCCUUCUUGACUACCUUGGAGCUUGUGGUAUAGGAACUAGGUUGUUAUAUUUGUUGAUUAUCAUCUUGUCUCUCAAAGAACUCAUUCUUUGAGUUCUAUCUCUCGUUCAUUUGCUCUUAGGCAAAUCACAUUGUAGGAUUACAAUGAACUACCCAACAAAACAACAUUUGUUAGUUGGUUUAUAGAAGCGAUAUCCAAAAGUUAAUUUAAGGAUAUCCCACAAGAUUGUUAUCAAACAAAUAUUGCUUAUUAGCACACAACCCCAAAUCUUAACAUGAUUAAGAUUUGCCUUUCUUUCCAACUACAUCCUAUGGAGUCAUGAAAAUUUUUGGAAGAUCUUCUAAUUGACAAUCAUAUUGUCUUAGAAGUAUAUAUCCUAUAUAUGGGUAAUUGAUAAUAUCCAAUGAACUAAAUCUUAUUCAAGUUCGUUCUUCUCCUUAUGGAGAAAUCCAUUAUCAUAUGAUGCUUCUUUCCUUGCGAUCUUUCAAGAAAACUAUUCUAAAGUGUUACCAUUCCUUGGAUCAAAUCUAAGGAUGUAAAUACUUUAGACGUCUUACUCAUCAACUUACAUUUCUUGAAUUCUUUGAAACCUUUACAAAGUAUUCGGACUUGUGUUUAUUCAAAAUAAACUAUAGUCCAACCGAGAGUGAUCUUCGGUGAAUGUCAUACAACAUGAGUAGUAUUAUGUUUGUGGACAACUGCCACUAACAUCUAAGUGAAUUAACCUCAACAACUUUGUGAUUCUUUCUUCUUUCCAAAAGAAUAAAGAUUCGAACAUUUCGCCUCUAUACAAUUUUAACAAGAAGGUAUUGGAUCCGGAUCUAACGAUCCAAAACAUCCAUCUAUGACCAACUCGUAAUUUAUGUUUUAGAGGUAUCACAACUCAGUUGGGAUUAGUCACUACCUUGCAACCUUUUGGGUUUUAAGCAUCGUUAUAUUCUAAACAAUUAACACUACCAUAUCAUCUCUACUAUAGAGACAAUCAAUUAGAUUACUAUAAUCCAAUCACUGAUUUAAUAAAGAACAAUGUUUUGUCAAACAAAACAUUCAUCCAUCUCUACUAUAGUGACGGAAUUAAGUUCCUUAAAAUUGGAAUGUAAAGACAAUCUUUGGUUUUUCCAAUUUCUUUGGUAGUUCAUAUGAGGAAGUAAGUACUAUCUGCUUUCGCAGAGAUCUAUAUUUUAUUCACGUUCCGAAUGUGAAGCACCUUUUUCUUCUCUCAUAUAUCUUCUACUUCUUAUUAGUCACAUAUUUACAACGAUUGUAAAACAUAGUUACUAAUAUGGAAUCAAGGAUUCAAGUAGAAGAAUAAACUGUUUUGAACUAUUCAAGAACAAUUUACAAUACAUUCGAAAUGUGUGUUCUUGACACUUGCAAGACAUUUCUUGCAAAUACCCCUUCCAAUGUCCAUCCUUUCAUAAAGAAAGAUUGUUCCCUUGGAGUUAAUUUUAUCUUCUUUAUUUGACUUCUCCUUUGACUACAAUAGUCAUGGUCCCUAAACUCCCACUAUCUCUGUUGAAACUUAUUUCAAUUGUGUUAUACACAUCAAAUGAUUUGGAGAGCGUGUGGUUAUUGUUCACUAUAUAGUUUACAAUAAACUUAGUGAACCAUUUGGAUAGGGACACAAAGGUGAAGUCCUUGCCUAGUUUCCGUUUCUAGAAGCGGUUUAACACUUCAACACUCAAUGAUUCAAAAUCAUCAUAAGUCCAUGUUGAUGGACUAUUUUUGUCAACCAACCAUUAUGUUCUAAACAUAAUUACAAACUUUUAAGAGUUGUUCAAGACAACUCUCAUUUCUUCAUACAACAAUUUGUAAGUGAAGAAUCAUGACACAUAAAGUGUCCAUGCCCUUGUGCUUACUUCUAAAGUUCCUUGUUCAUUUAACAAAGAAACAAGCACUAAUGUUUGCAUUGACUAAGGGUUGUUCAAAUUAACUCUUAUUUCUUCAUACAACGAUUUGUAAGUGAAGAAUUAUGACAUUAAAAGUGUUGUCCUCCUUAUGAUAGACUUAUCUAACAUUUUCUUCCAAUAGUACAUUAUCAAUAGGAAGAUUGUGAGGAUGAGACUACUUAGGUACAUAUGAAAUCCAUUUAAGACAAUCUUUGGGAUUGUUGUACCAAGUCCGGAAACUAAAGCAUUCAGCUUUUAUUUGUCGAGUGUUGGAUAGCGUUUGCGAAUAUAUUGGUAAAUUAAUACAUAACGAAUAUAAAUCGAUUGAUUUUAAGCCAUUUGAUCCAGGCCUUUAAAUCAAAUAGCACCACCCACUAUUUUUGGCAAAUUCCAUAUCCCUCAUUGGAAUUCGAGAGUUUUGGAUGAAACUCUUAGUAGGGUAUGGGAGACUCACCAUUACUAAGCCCACCUCAGAAGAAAAUCAUACUGGCUAGCGUUAAUAAUAAUGAGAGAGUACGCUUACUCAUUUGCAUCUCUUGCAAGUACCCAUCUAGUUUGGCCUCUAGAGAAUGAUGCCUCAGAAGAAUAUCAUAUUGGCACAUUGCACUUAGUUAAGUCAUUCCCACCAUGCUAGUUAAAGUAGGGGUUCAAGAAUGGCCUCAGAAGAAAAUCAUAUUGACCAUACUCGUUGCCUACCUUUACUUCAUCAUAUGUUUAUAGGCUUCUCCUGAAUGUAAGCACAUACUUUGCAACCCUAGAACUGGACGAAUACGGUGUACGAGUCACAAACGAUUGAAGCCUACCACGGUGGAAGGCCACGAAAGAGUGUUCAAAGCACUCUCACGCUUAUCAACUUAAUAAUGGUUUGUAUGAGGGUUUUUAGGACUCAACACAUAUAAACUUUCAUUUUAAUCUUAUUAAAACAAUUUUGGUCCUAUUACAACUAUUGGUCCAUUUGAUUGUUUUUAGUUGUAUAUAAUACUCCCACUAUGCUUAUAAAACGGUUUUUAAAGCAAGAGUAUAUGAUACUACUAACAUAAACUUUGCAUUCAUUUGAUGGACUAUAUAGUUGCCUUAGGGCCUUAGGAUGACUAUGGACCUUUGUUUAGAUUCAACACGAGCCUAGUGUUGAAUCUCGGUCUAGGGAUGGUGAUUGAUUUUAGUUACGCGUUUAAUCACAUUAAGGCGUGUUGUCUUAUGGGCGUUGGACCCUCUACUCCAUUUUCAUGCAUAUCAAAUAAUACAAGAAAGGAGUACUUCAAAGUAAAGAUGAGCUUAUGCUCUUUACAACAUUUGAAUAAUACAAAUUACUUUAAAGUAAAGAAGAGCUUAUGCUCUUUUACAACAUUUGAUCAAAUCAAAUUACAACCAAAAUCUAAUCUACACAUUCCCAUGGUUCAAACAAAUUUGAAACGGCCUUUCACAUAGCUCAAUUAUAUUAGGCUUAGGUUCAUAAUCACCCUUUCUUUAAUCAAUUAACGCUAUAACCAAUUAAACUUGAAUGCAACAUUUUCAUUUGGUUUUUGUAUCCAUAGAAUUGAUUUAAAUGGAGCUAAAUGAAAUGAAAAUCCAAUUCUCAUUUAAAGAGACAAAACAAUUUUGUUCUCAACCUAAUUUGGGCCAAUAUGCAAUUACCACAACCUUUGGGCUAUAUUGCAAAAAACAUAAACUUUUGGGGUCACUUUGUAAAAACACAAAAGUCCACUACUUCAUGUAAUUACAACUAGAACCCAAAAUUUAAACAAUGCAAAAACUUCAUUAAAGGAGCAAAACAAUUUGUCCUUUAGCAUUUUUGGACCUAAACGUAAAAACGUAAACUUUUGGGCCAAAGUGCAAAUACACAAAAGUAUCAAAAUUUUAUGUAAUCGCAUAAAAGCGCCAAAAGUACUCCCAUUGAGGGAGUGGCCGGUUUUGGAGAGGAAAAGGAGUGAUGUGUGUGUUGAUUUGUGAGUUUUGACAUAAAGCAAGCAAGUGGUGCAAGUGGUGCAAGUGGUGUGUGUGAAAGGGAAUUAAUCAUUUCACACCCACCAUUAUUUCUACCACCAUUUGAACAAAUAUCUAACACAUUAAAUCAUUUGAAAAACAUAAAACAUAAACUUUAUGAAAUAAAUCAAAACUUUGAAUCAAAACACCAAACUUUUUGUUCUUGGCAAAAAUGUCAAGAACAAUGAAGAACACUCAUGAAAAACUCAAAAAAUUUCCACGAACAUUUUUCACCCAAAAACAUUCCAAAAACCCAUUCAAAACUUAAGGGAAAUAACAUACAUAUAACCAAACUAGGGUACAUAGGGGUUCCAAAAGUUACUUGAAAACACUUUUAACAAGUCAAACAAGAACCCAAAAAUCCAACCUUUGGAUUUGGCCGAAAAUUCCCAAAAACAUGGCACCAAAUUUUAGCUCCAAUAUUCAUGCUCAUAUGAACUACAUCUAAAACAUUUGAGAUGGCAAAUUUUCUAACAAAAUUUACAUUCAAAGAAACAAGAAUAAAGCUUGUAACAUAUUACAACAUUUAAAUCAAAACUAUGAACUACAAAACCCAAAAGGAUUCACCAACUUACUGGACUUAGGCUCUGAUACCACUUGAAGGAAGAUUUGUGAAAAACAUGUUCAUUUAAGCAACAUCUAUAAGCAUGCAAUUAACAAUUAAAGGCGGAAUCAUGCUUGCAUGCACUUAAAAACAAAACAUUAGCCAUGAAAUUCAAAGCCUAGUAGAUUGGUGAACCAAGACUCAACUCAAAUCAAAGUGAGUUGAGAAAUUAUACCUUUGUGGAUUCCUCUUUGCAUAAGCAAAGGCUAAUCACCCAAAGAGAGGGCCUUCAUUCCUUGCAUCUUAGAUCUAUGGAUUUGGAUGGAUGAAAAUGGUUCUCCAAGUUCUCAAAAUAGAGAACCUCUAAGUCUCCACACCAAGGUUAGAUUGAUGAAGAAAUGAGUGACCUUGGAGGAGAAAGAUUACUAGCUAAUCCCUCCAAGGGGGCCGGCCUCUUUAGAGAGAAAGGGAGAGACAUGUUCUCUCCAAUUUUCUCCAAAAGAAACCCUAAAUGAAUUUUGGCUAUAAAGUCAUAUUUAUACCUUAAUUCAUUGGAGUGACAAACUUGUAAAUAAGUCCAAAACCCACUCCAUCUCUAAAUGGCCAGCCUUAAGGGUUUCAUUGGGCUGUUAAGGCCUUUGUGAAUUAUUAAUCAUUAAGUUGUCAUACAACUUAAGUCAAUGGGCUUGACGUUCGAAGCCCAUUGGGCCAUGAGGCCCAUAACUAAACCCGUGGUCUUUAACGAACUUAUUCGUUUGAUUAAUUAACAUAUUAAUUAAUCCUUGCCAUAAAUAAAUUAACCAUUUAAUUAUCCUUAAUCAUCUCCUUUGCCUUACAUCAUCUCCUUUAGUCCUUUAGCGAUCUCCACCUUACACGGUGUACGAGGCAGGUUUUAGCGAUUUAAAACCAUUUCAAAUUGAUUGUGAAUUGAAACUUACUUUCAAUUCUCCCUUUAGUGAUUAUACACGUUUAGGGCUUUUCAUCACAAAUCAUGAGUGACACCUAGCAGCAUAUAUCAUAUGGUUACCCAAGCUAAUCAGAAGAGGUGGAGAACCUAUUCAGUUUAGGAUUACAAAUGCAAUACGGUCCUUCUCUAAUACAAUACUCUUGACCACAUUGUUUGGUUUGAUAGUUUAUUCAUGUCUACUAUAUCCAAUGUGAUUCGUGUGCUAUAUGAUUACCUUGAAUGUGAUUUGGAACGACUUCCUAAAUCUCAUUCAUACUCUGGCCAUAGAUUCUUAAUCAUAUCAUAGAAUAUUCUCCCUCAAACAGUUUGAAGGUUAGAGAUCCCUGGUUGCGCAUUCACUUGCCUCCAUGGCUAAGUAGCUAACCCCAAUAACCCCUUAACCCCCAAUAUGCCGUGGACACCCUCUUUUAGAGUGACUUUUGACAUAAUCAAAGAUCAAGGACUUAACCACAAGACAACUAUGAUGCCCUCAGGUCAAAGGACUACUUUGCAUUAUCCCAACCAUGAGUUCUCUCAUGUGACAUGAAACUCUUCGUUGAUGUUCAGUGAACUCUUUCUCUAUUGAGCACCUACUUGUUGUGAACUCUUUCACUACCAUUGAAGCAUGACUCGAGACUAGUACACUCUCCCUGAGAGAAGACACACACAAACUGAUCUUAACGGACUCUGUCAACUCUCCAAUGAGAAAGCAAACACAACGAUACUGAUCUUAAAGAGGACUGUCAAUGCAAUCCAAUGAAUAAAUGACGUUUAGGGAUAAUAUGAAAGAAUGUCUCAUUUGAUCUAACUUCUUUAGAUUGCAUUAUCCCAAUCACAUAUUCCUUGGACUUAUCGUUUAAGCAUAUAACAUUUAUAUGAGACGGCUUAAAACAAUAAUCUUUGCCCUUUAUAUUAAACUAGAUUAGUUUAACAUGUGAAAUGUCCGUAAAGUAUCAUUAUUGGUUUAAAUGACUUUUAGUUUAACAUGAAACUGCAAAAAAAUGUAUCCGUCCAAAUAAAGUAUCAUCAUGAUUGGUUUUAGGGCACAUUUCCAACACCCCUCCUUUGGUUAGAAUGAUUGCAUUCAUGGUAUAUCUCAACAUCACAUUGAAACUGCAAAAAAAUGUAUUCCAAUAUUUUGAUUAUUAUUGUAAAACACUGAUUAAGAACUUAGUGAUGUGUGUCGGGUUGACAUGAGAAUUUCAUACAUGUAAUAGAAAUAGAAUGAUGCAUGUUAAUUUUUUUUUUUGGCAUUACAUAAUACAAAAUACUUGAUCCAGUUUCAUGUUUAGUAUUUGUGAGAUUUGUUUCAUUUAAGUUCAAUUUUAAUUAAUGAUAAUAAUUCUCAAUAAUGGCGAUCUUUGAGAUGCUGCCAAGAUCUCAAAAAAAAUCUGUCCACUUUUGUGUUGAUUUUGUACUUUCAUUAAGACAAUUUGAGACAAGAAAAAUUCUAAGACUCAAACCAUAAAAACAAAAACCUCAAAAAUUUAGGGGAUAAAUGUGAGAUCAAAUGAACGGAGGCAGUCACAGCUCGGAAAGAGACAAGUGAUUAGAUACAAAUUACAACUAUUCACAUGACACUUACUGUGGCAGCCGCAGCAACCUGGUAAGGGUAAUCCUGCUUUGAUGAGUGUCCCCUUCUUGAGGACAGAUAUCACUCAGACUCCUUAGCCGCACUUCAAAUUUAUACUGCUUGCUUGAACAUCCCUACAAAAAGAAAGCUAAAUCACUACUUGCAUGGUUGCACCAACAAGAAUACAGAACCAGUAAGGGAAGAUUCAAAGAUACAGUGCAUAAAAAGGGAGGCUAUCCGUCACCUGCAUAAGUUAAUCUUCAAACAAUUAACGUAUAUAAACAUAUGAAACUAGUAAGGGAAGAUUCAAGAUUGAAAUUAAAUUCCAAACCCUAAAUUAAAUUUCAAAAGGAAGACAGAAAUUAGAUUUCAAAAGAGAGAGAUCGUGGUGGUGGAGAGUCAGAGACGAGGGCUCGGUGUGGUGGUACGCCGAUGGCUGGCCGGAAUUCAACACAGACAGUCGGAUGAGAGAUGAGGGCUCGGUGAGGGAGGGCUGCGCUUCAAGUUCGAUUGGAUGGAACAAAUGAACGAAAGUGAAAUCUGAAAUGGGAUCUGACCUAGAAACAAAUGAACAACACAGAUUAAAUCUAAAACAAUGAACGGUUGGAAAUAAUUCUCUUAUAAUUAAAAAAUAAUAUAUAUAUAAUUUUUUUUUUCGGUUCAGUAUGGGAAUACCGAAAAAUGGAAAUGCAAAACCGAAUCCCAUACCGAAAAUUUUGGUUUGGUUCGGGAUUACAUACCGAAAAUUUCGGGAAUUUUGGUUUGGGAUCGGGAUUUUUUUGGUUUGGUUUGGGAUUUUUGGGAUUUUUUCCAGCCCUAACAAUAAGUAUUCCAAAAGCUAUUACAUCAAAUGAGUGGCUUUGUGGGCAUACUUCCAACAUUGAGAUGGUUGGCCAGGCUUGAACUUGAGCGGACAAAAACCAUUUUGUCCGAGUAUAUCCUCUCAGGCUUUCUUAUUGAUGGUUCGGGCAAUCUAGUUUGGUUAGGUUCUUCUUGUCCUGUAUCCUCAACACUAACAUGCACCAUCAUGGGUUAUGUCGCUAGGUAAUCACCUUCCAAUGCGUGUUGACAGCACGACGAUUAACCACCCUACAAUUCAUUCGUACCUCCCCAGGCUGUUCAAACUGCAAGUCUCCUAUCUUUAUCAUCCCUUUAACAAAGGCCUUGAAAAAAUCUCUUUGGUCACUGCUAAACUGCUCAACAUAUAUCCUAGUCUGUGGAUAUGUGACAAGCGUUUGAUAAGAAUUCAUAAACCUUCUCCCUGAAACCAAGUCCUUGUAGUACUGGUUGUGAAAUACCAAAGGCGUAGCAUCUAGAUCUCCGGUCACAUUUUGGCCCAUGAUUAAAGGGCAAAGCUUUUUUAGCUUGUCUCUGUACUUUAGCUCAAAUACAGGGUCUGGCCUGCCACUGCCAGAUUGGUUGUACAACCGAAACAUGAUGGAAAAACACCGACCCUGGCCAAUCUAGUGUGACCUUGGAAAGGCAAUGAGGUCUUUGACAGAAAGAUUAAAUUUUCCAAAGAGGUCAAUGAGGGAGCUUGCAUUGGCUCUUAGACUUGGCAUAACAUUGUCUGAGGCUUCUUGACUAGCUGAUAAGCUAUCCAAUCUUCCUAACUUCACUUCCCAAUCGGGGUGUUCCCGUCUGAUUAACAAAAACUCAUAUCACUAUAUCUUGAAGUACAAACAACAGAAAGAAAAGAACAGUAGUCCUUUCACAAUUUCAUGUCAAACGUGACGACACGAUACAAGAAACCACAGUGCAGAUACAUUAAUAAAAUUUUACGGCUUAAUUUUCAUGUAUUGCAUAAUUUGAUAUAUAAGUACAUACAGUCAUUGUUCUCCAAGGAAACAAAAAAAGACACAAAGCAAUAUCCUUCCUAAUAAAGGACUCUAAUAAUUACACAAUAUUUACAUUCCUAUUUCCCUAAAGAUUACUCACGCCAACACUCCCCCUUAAGUUGGAGCAUAGAUGUCAUACAUGCCUAACUUGAUAAGUGAGUUACCAAAAACCCUACUACAUACGGCAUGAGUGAGAAUAUCUACAAGUUGUUCUUCUGAGUUCAUAAACGGUAUUGGCACAAUCUUCUUUAAUGAAGUGUCGAUUGACCUCCACAUGCUUCGUUCUGUCAUGCUGUAUUGGAUUCUUUGCGAUAUCUCUUGCCGACUUAUUGUCACAGUACAAAUUCGUUGCCUCUUUUUGUUUGAAACCAAGACCCCAAAGCAACUUACACAACUAAAGAACUUCACACACUCCAUACAUCAUGCCUGUAAACUCGGCCUCCGCAGAAGACCUAGACACCACCUUUUGUUUCUUACUCCUCCAACUAAAUUUCCUCCAACGAACGUAAAGUAUCCAGAUAUAGAACGUCUAUCAGUCAUAUCACCUGCCCAAUCAGUAUCAGUAAACCCCUCAAUUCUUAGAUGACCGUGAUUCUUACAUAAAAUUUCCUUCCCUAGAGUAAAAUUUAAAUAUGCUAAAAUCCACAUAACCGCAGCCAUAUGAUCCACACUCGAUGAGUGCAUAAAUUGACUCACCACACUCACUGUAUAGGCUAUAUCUAGCUGAGUGUGAGCUAAAUAAAUUAAUCUCCCUACCAAUCUCUGAUAUCUGCCUUUAUCCACAGGUUCUUUAUUCGGAUAAAUUCCCAAGUGAUGUUUCUCCAUGAUAGGCGUAUCCACAGGUUUACACCCAAGCAUACAUGUUUCCUUUAAUAAAUCUAGAACAUACUUUCGUUGAGACAAGAAAAUACCUUUGGAUGAACGAGCAACCUCUACUCUAAGAAAAUAUUUUAAAUCACCUAAAUUUUUCAAAACUCAGCAUCAAGAUAUUUUUCCAGUUUAACAAUCUCAUCUGAAUCAUCACCUGUUAUUAUCAUAUCAUCAACAUAAAUAAUUAAGGCUGUUACUUUACCAUUUCUCUGUUUCACAAAUAGCGUAUGAUCAGAAUGACUUUGAUAAUACCCAUUCUUUCUAAUGGCCUAAGUGAAUCUUCCAAACCAUGCACGAGGUGACUGUUUAAGUCCAUAAAGCAACUUUCGCAAUUGGCACACUCUAGUUUUCCCCUCAGCAUUAUACCCUAAAGAAAAAUCCAUAUACACUUCUUCCUCUAGAUGUCUAUGAAGAAAAGCAUUUUUUACAUCAAACUGUUUUAAUGGCCAAUUCAAAUUUGCAGCUAAUGAGAUAAGAACUCAUACCGUAUUCAUCUUGGCCACCAGACAAAUUUUUUCCUGAUAAUCAACACUAUACGUUUGAGUAUAUCCUUUUACUACCAACCUUGCUUUGUACCUGUCCAAUAAUCCGUCAGCCUUGUAUUUAACUUUAUAAACCCAUCGGCACUCAACUAGUUUUUUUUCUCUUCAGCAGUUCCACUACUUCCCAUGUAUUGUUUUUCUAUAGUGCCAUCAUCUCUUCAUCCAUUGCUUCAGCCCAUUUUUUUUUUUUUCAAAUCACCACUUAAGUUGGUAUUUGAAUUGCCUCCACAUUGUUCACCCAAGCUUGACGUUCGGGUGAAAGAUUUCUACAUGACACAUAAUUGGCUAUUGGAUACUUCAUUUUUCCUUCUAGAGAAAACCUAUUAGGAAUUACACCACGAUUUUGCCUUGGUGGCAACUUAUAUAUACUUAUAACAUCAUUAGUUACAUAGGAAUAAAUAGUACUUACCUCAGGGAUAUUCAUAAAAGACGUAUUGGGUGAUGGCACUAUUGAGCUAAAGAGAGGGGAAAGCAGGCUCGGCAAGAGUCUUGGUAGUACCAGUACUAGGCUCAGCAGCAACUUGUUGUGGAGCAGUUUCCUCUUCGACAGAAGCUGGCUGAAUGUCAACACAUUCUUCAUUAGCAAACAGCUAUUGAACACCUAUAGCAGUCUCAGCAAAUGGCUACUGAACACCUGCAAUAGUCUUGGCAAGAAUGAACCGAGGCUCUGUUGCACGAGUUUGGCACGGUUUACUCCAUCUGAAGCGAUUAUCACAUCAUCUUGGACAUCCAACAACCCAAAAACACCAUCAAUAUCACAAAUACUAGCAUUCUCCCCCUUAUGAUCUGAAGGUGAUGAUACCAGAGUAAUAAAAUAUUCCGAUUCAGAAAAGGUAACAUCCAUUGUCACCUACACAUAUUGGGUUUCAAGGUGGUAGCAUUUAUAGCCUUUUUGUUGGGAUGCAAAUCCAAUGAAGACACAUUGAGGAGCACAUGGAUCCAAUUUACUACGAUGAAUCUUGUGAGUAUGAACAUAUGUUACACAUCCAAACACACAAGGAGUUAAGGUAUUGGUGGAUAGUACAGGAACAUGUUCUGUCAAUACUUGAAGAGAUGUAUGAAAUGAAAGAAGAUUUGUGAAAAACAUGUUCAUUUAAGCAACAUCUAUAAGCAUGCAAUUAACAAUUAAAGGCAGAAUCAUGCUUGCAUGCACUUAAAAACAAAACAUUAACCAUGAAAUUCAAAGCCUAAUAGAUUGGUGAACCAAGACUCAACUCAAAUCAAAGUGAAUUGAGAAAUUAUACCUUUGUAGAUUCCUCUUUGCAUAAGCAAAGGCUAAUCACCCAAAGAGAGGGCCUUCAUUCCUUGCAUCUUAGAUCUAUGGAUUUGGAUGGAUGAAAUAGUUCUCCAAGUUCUCAAAAUAGAGAACCUCUAAGUCUCCACACCAAGGUUAGAUUUAAGUAGAAAAAGAGUGACCUAGAGGAAGCAAGAUUGCUAGCUAAAUUCCUCUAGGGUGGCCGGCCUCUUUAGAGAGAAAGGGAGAGACAUGUUCUCUCCAAUUUUCUCCAAAAGAAACCCUAAAUGAAUUUUGGCUAUAAAGUCAUAUUUAUACCUUAAUUCAUUGGAGUGGCAAACUUGUAAAUAAGUCCAAAACCCACUCCAUCUCUAAAUGGCCGGCCUUAAGGGUUUCAUUGGGCUUUUAAGGCCUUUGUGAAUUAUUAGUCAUUAAGUUGUCAUACAACUUAAGUCAAUGGGCUUGACGUUCGAAGCCCAUUGGGCCUUGAGGCCCAUAACUAAACCCGUGGUCUUUAACGAACUUAUUCGUUUGAUUAAUUAACAUAUUAAUUAAUCCUUGCCAUAAAUAAUUAAACCAUUUAAUUAUCCUUACUCAUCUCCUUUGUUUCUUCAAUCUCCACCUUACACAGUGUACGAUCCAUUAGGUUCCUUUUAACGAGGCGUUGGGCGAUUAAAACCAUUUCAAAUCGAUUGUGAAUUGAAACUUACUUUCAAUUCUCCCUUUAGUGAUUAUACACGUUUAGGGCUUCCACAAACCAUGAGCGACACCUAGCAGCAUAUCAUGGUUACCCAAGCUAAUCAGAAGAGGUGGAGAACCUAUUCAGUUUAGGAUUACAAAUUCAAUACGGUCUUUCUCUAAUACAAUACUCUUGACCACAUUGUUUGGUUUGAUAGUUUAUUCAUGUCUACUAUCCAAUGUGAUUCGUGUGCUUAUAUGAUUACCUUGAAUGUGAUUUGGAACGACUUCCUAAAUCUCAUUCAUACUCUGGCCAGAGAUUCUUAAUCAUAUCAUAGAGUAUUCUCCCUCAAACAGUUUGAAGGUUAGAGAUCCCUUGUUGUGCAUUCACUUGCCUCCAUGGCUAAGUGGCUUAACCCCAACUAUGCCGUGGACACCCUCCUUUUGGAGUGACUUUUUGAAGGAUUAUUUUGUGAAAACAAGUUCAUUUAAGCAACAUCAAUAAGCAUGCAAUUAACAAUUAAAGGCGGAAUCAUGCUUGCAUGCACUUAAAAACAAAACUUUAACCAUGAAAUUCAAAGCCUAGUAGAUUGGUGAACCAAAACUCAACUCAAAACAAAGUGAGUUGAAAUUUAUACCUUUGUAGAUUCCUCUUUGCAUAAGCAAAGGCUAAUCACCCAAAGAGAGGGCCUUCAUUCCUUGCAUCUAAAAUCUAUGGAUUUGGAUGGAUGAAUAGGUUUCUCCAAGUUCCCAAAAUUGAGAACCUCUAAGUCUCUUCACCAAGGAGAGAUUGGAGAAGAAAUGAGUGACCUUGGAGUAGUGGGAUUGCAAGAUGCACCACCCAAGGUGGCCGGCCUCUUUAGAGAGAAAUGGAGAGACAAGUUCUCACCAAUUUUCUCCAAAACAAACCCUUAAUGAAUUUUGGCUAUAAAGUCAUAUUUAUACAUUUAUUCAUUUGAGUGGCAAACUUGUAAAUAAGUCCAAGUUCACUACCCUAAACAAUAUGGCCGGCCAUUAGGAUAUUUUGGACUAAUUGGGCCUUUGUGAAUCAUUAUUCAUUAAGUUGUCAUACAACUUACGUUAAUGGGCUUGACGUUCGAAGCCCAUUGGGCCUUAAGGUCCAAAACUAUCCCGAGGUCUUUAACGAACUUAUUCGUUUGAUUAAUUAACAUAUUAAUUAAUCCUUGCCAUAAAUAAAUGAUUAAACCAUUUAAUCAUUCUUACUCAUCUCCAUUGUUUCUUCAAUCUCCACCUUACACGGUGUGCGAUCCAUUAGGUUCCUUUUAGCGAGGCAGUGGGCGAUUAAAACCAUUUUACAUCGAUUGUGAAUUGAAACUUACUUUCAAUUCUCCCUUUAGUGAUUACACACGUUUAGGGCUUCCACAAACCAUGAGUGACACCUUGCAACAUAUCAUGGUUACCCAAGCUAAUCAGAAGAGGUAGAGAAAACCUAUUCAGUUUCGGAUUACAAAUGCAAUACGGUCUUUCUCUAAUACAAUACUCUUGACCACAUUGUUUGGUUUGAUAGUUUAUUUAUUCAUGUCUACUAUCCAAUGUGAUUCGUGUGCUUAUAUGAUUACCUUGAAUGUGAUUUGGAACGCUUUCCUAAAUCUCAUUCAUACUCUGGCCAGAGAUUCUAAAUCAUAUCAUAGAGUAUUCUCCCCCAACGGUUUGAAGGUUAGAGAUCCCUUGUUGCGCAUUCACUUGCCUCCAUGGCUAAGUGGCUUAACCCCAAUGAUGCCGUGGACACUCCAAUGUAAUGACGUUUGACAUAAUCAAAGAUCAAGGACUUAACCACAAGACAACUGUGAUGCCUCAGGUCAAAUGACUACUUUGCAUUAUCCCAACCAUGAGUUCUCACUUUGCAUUAUCCCAACCAUGAGUUCUCAUGUGACAUGAGUAUGCGAACUCUUCGUUGAUCGCGUUCAGUGAACUCAUUCUCUACUGAGCACCUACGUACUUGUCUUGAUGUCACACACACCAAUGACUCGAGACUAGUCACUCUCCCUGAGAGAAGACAUAGCAAAUACCGAUCUUGACGGACUGUCAAUGCCCAAUUAGCAAUCCUAUGAUCAGGAACAUUUAGGAUGUGUCUACGAAAGAAUGGUCUCAUGAAUCUAACUUCAUUAGAUUACAUUCUCCCAAUCACAUAUUCCUUGGACUUUAUCGUUUAAGCAUAUAACAUUUAUAUGGGACAGCUCAAACAAUAAUCUAUGCCCUUUAUAUGUAAACUAGAUUAGUUUAACAUGUGAAAUGUCCGUAAAGUAUCAUCAUAUGAUUGGCUUUAGGGCACAUUUCCAACACUUUUGAUAUAAUCAAAGAUCAAGGAUUUAACCACAAGACAACUAUGAUGCCUCAGGUCAAAUGACUACUUUGCAAUAUCCCAACCAUGAGUUCUCAUGUGACAUGAAUAUGAGAACUCUUCGUUGAUCGUGUUCAGUGAACUCAUUCUCUAUUGAGCACCUACGUACUUGUCUUAAUGUCACACAUGCCAAUGACUCGAGACUAGUCACUCUCCCUGAGAGAAGACACAGCACGUACUGAUCUUAACGGACUGUCAAUGCCCAAUUGGCAAUCCUAUGAUCAGGAACGUUUAGGAUGUGUCUACGAAAGAAUGGUCUCAUGAAUCUAACUUCUUUAGAUCGCAUUCUCCCAAUCACAUAUUCCUUGGACUUAUCGUUUAAGCAUAUAACAUUUAUAUGAGACGACUCAAACAAUAAUCUUUGCCCUUGAUAUUUAAACUACAUUAGUUUAACUUGUGGAAUAUCCGUAAAGUAUCAUCAUAUGAUUGGUUUUAGGGCACAUUUCCAACAAUCUCCCACUUGCACUAAAGCCAAUCAGCUUGGUCAUCAGUGAUGAUACCUCUUCUGUAGUCAUUUCAUAAAUGGCUGAGUAGUAGGCCUAGACAAUGGAUAUCUAUAUGUUAUCCAUAGAAGCAACCUUGAGAAUAAUGACGUCACCAUUAUACAUGAUUCUUAAUCAUGUGGUUCAGUCUCUCAUUUGAGUUCGGAUCUUGAUGAGACCUUGAUUCCCUGGCUUGAGCUAUUGCCCCAUUAGUGUCGUAGUGUCGGUACACUAGAGACACUUUCUGGUUGGAACCGAAUAGAGAGUUCAUAAAUGAACUUUCCCAUCCAAACAACAAUGUUGUAAGCUUCUAUAUGGCAAUAUAUAUUUUGCAUUCAUAAUGGAACAUACUAAAGUCAUUACUUUUAAUGUUUCCAUCCAAAUAUCUCUUUAGUCAUAAUAAAAAAGAUAUCUAAUUAUCUCUUCAUUCAUAAUGAAGAAACAUCCAAUGAUGGAUUAGAUUCAUAAUCUAAUACAUUUACACUUCCUUUACGUUGCUCUAAUUCUUCCUCAUUCUUUGAGGAAUCUAUCCUUUAGUAUUUCUUAAAUACUUAAGGACUCACUUGACAGUUGCCAUGGUUCUGAUCCUGGGCUUGCACUGAUAUCCUCUUGUACAGUUCUAGGCACAACUCAUAUCAAUGUUUUUCAUACAAUAUGAAAUACAUAAAUCACCUUUAUGCGUAUGCAUAAAGGAUUCUAUUUACGCAUUAUUUCUUUGGGAGUCAAAGAGUACGUUCUCUUUGAGAAGAGCAACUUCUUAGUCUCACUAAAGUUGUCCUUCGAAUUGAAGUUUAUCAUCAUAUGAGAAACUUCCUAGCAUCUAUUGUCUAUUAUUAGGGAUUGAUAUAAUCAAAUUAUAUCAUGAAAUAUAUCAUUAUAGAUUUCCAUCCCAUGUAUAUAGACUAUAUCUCCCAUAUUCAUUCUAUCUUCAUAUAAUGUUUUAAAGUCAUAACUUUAACGAAGAAGAAUUCUUUUC
rnacentral:lncRNA from 1 species